rnacentral:rRNA from 1 species
UACGUAGGGGCAAGCGUUGUCCGGAUUUAUUGGGCGUAAAGAGCGUGUAGGCGGUUUGGUAGGUCCGUUGUGAAAACUCGAGCUCAACCUCGAGACGCCGGCGGAAACCAUCAGGCUAGAGUCCGGAAGAGGAGAGUGGAAUUCCUGGUGUAGCGGUGAAAUGACGCAGAUAUCAGGAAGAACACCCGUGGCUAAGGCGGCUCUCUAGUACGGUACUGACGCUGAGACGCGAAAGCGUGGGGAGCGAACAGG